rnacentral:rRNA from 1 species
UUUCUAGCUUGCUAGAAGAUGACGAGUGGCGGACGGGUGAGUCAUGCUUGGGAACUUGCCUUUGCGAGGGGGAUAACAGUUGGAAACGACUGCUAAUACCGCAUAAUGUCUUCGGACCAAACGGGGCUUCGGCUCCGGCGCAAAGAGAGGUCCAAGUGAGAUUAGCUAGUUGGUAAGGUAACGGCUUACCAAGGCGACUAUCUCUAUCUGUUCUGAGAGGAAUAUCAGCCACACUGGGACUGACACACGGCCCACACUCCUACGGGAGGCAGGAGUGGGGAAUAUUGCACAGUGGGGGAAACCCUGAUGCAGCCAUGCCGCGUGUGUGAAGAACACCUUCGGGUUGGAAAGCACUUUCUUGUGUGAGGAAAAGUUAGUAGUUAAUACCUGCUAGCCGUGACGUUAACAACAGAAGAAGCACCGGCUAACUCCGUGCCAGCAGCCGCGGUAAUACGGAGGGUGCGAGCGUUAAUCGGAAUUACUGGGCGUAAAGCGCACGCA